UUUGAACGCUGGCGGAAGGCUUAACACAUGCAAGUCGAGCGGAGAUGAGGUGCUUGCACCUUAUCUUAGCGGCGGACGGGUGAGUAAUGCUUAGGAAUCUGCCUAUUAGUGGGGGACAACAUUCCGAAAGGAAUGCUAUACCGGAAUACGCCUAACGGGGGAAAGCGGGGGACCUUGGACCUUGCCGUAAUUGAUUGGCCUUAAUCGGGUUAGCUAGGUGGUGGGGUAAAGGCCUAACAAGGCGAAGAUCUGUAGCGGGUCUGGGAGGAUGAUCCGCCACACUGGGACUGAGACACGGCCCAGACUCCUACGGGAGGCAGCAGUGGGGAAUAUUGGACAAUGGGCGGAAGCCUGAUCCAGCCAUGCCGCGUGUGUGAAGAAGGCCUUUUGGUUGUAAAGCACUUUAAGCGAGGAGGAGGCUACCUGGAUUAAUACUCUAGGAUAGUGGACGUUACUCGCAGAAUAAGCACCGGCUAACUCUGUGCCAGCAGCUGCCGCGGUAA
rnacentral:rRNA from 1 species